rnacentral:rRNA from 1 species
AUUGAACGCUGGCGGCAUGCCUUACACAUGCAAGUCGAACGGCAGCACGGGGGCAACCCUGGUGGCGAGUGGCGAACGGGUGAGUAAUGCAUCGGAACGUACCCAGUUGUGGGGAUGGCCGGCGAAGCCGGAUUAAUACCGCAUACGACCUGAGGGUGAAAGCGGGGACCGAAAGGCCUCGCGCAGUUGGAGCGGCCGAUGUCGGAUUAGCUAGUUGGUGGGGUAAAGGCUUACCAAGGCGACGAUCCGUAGCUGGUCUGAGAGGACGACCAGCCACACUGGGACUGAGACACGGCCCAGACUCCUACGGGAGGCAGCAGAGGGGAAUUUUGGACAAUGGGGGCAACCCUGAUCCAGCCAUGCCGCGUGCGGGAGGAAGGCCUUCGGGUUGUAAACCGCUUUUGUCAGGGAAGAAAUCUUCUGGGUUAAUACCUCGGGAGGAUGACGGUACCUGAAGAAUAAGCACCGGCUAACUACGUGCCAGCAGCCGCGGUAAUACGUAGGGUGCGAGCGUUAAUCGGAAUUACUGGGCGUAAAGCGUGCGCAGGCGGUUUUGUAAGAUCGAUGUGAAAUCCCGGGCUCAACUGGAACUGCAUGUGACUGCAAGGCUGGAGUGCGGCAGAGGGGGAUGGAAUUCCGCGUGUAGCAGUGAAAUGCGUAGAUAUGCGGAGGAACACCGAUGGCGAAGGCAAUCCCUGGGCCUGCACUGACGCUCAUGCACGAAAGCGUGGGGGAGCAAAACA